UUGAUUGAACAGGAAGUUGGUGUCGGCCGCCUGCAUCCUAUUGGCCGCCAAGAUCAGCAGCGAUCUAAGGAAACAGGAGGUCAUACAUCUCAUCGAUAAGCUGGAGGAGCGCUUCAGGAUCGGCAGACGGGAGCUGAUCAGCUUUGAGUUCACCAUCCUGGUGGCCCUGGAGAUGGCCCUCUACCUCCCGGAAAGCAAAGUCAUGCCACAUUACAGGCGGCUGGUGCAGCAGCAGUUGUAGCUCGCCGCGCUUCC